rnacentral:tRNA from 1 species
GAGGAUAUAGCUCAGUGGCACAGUAUCUGCCUGGCAAGUGCAAGAUCCUAAGUUCAAUUCUUAGUACCCA